GCCGGCGUGGCGCAAUGGUAGCGCGUAGCUUUCCUACCUUGGAAAGGCUGAAGUUGCGGGUUCGAUCCCCGUCGUCGGUU
rfam:Lentinula edodes NBRC 111202 DNA, contig: scaffold8.